GAUGAACGCUAGCGGCAGGCCUAAUACAUGCAAGUCGAGCGGCAAGUCGAGGAGUAAUCUGAGACCUAGAGCGGCGUACGGGUGCGUAACGCGUAUGCAACCUACCUCCUACAGGGGGCUAGCCCGGAGAAAUCUGGAUUAAUACCCCAUAGCACAGCACAAGGGCAUCUGCGAGCUGGUAAAGAUUCAUCGGUCUGAGAUGGGCAUGCGUCUGAUUAGCUAGGUGGCGGUGUAACGGACCACCAAGGCGACGAUCAGUAGGGGUUCUGAGAGGAAGGUCCACCACACUGGCACUGAGAUAAGGGCCAGACUCCUACGGGAGGCAGCAGUAGGGAAUAUUGGGCAAUGGACGAGAGUCUGACCCAGCCAUGCCGCGUGCAGGAAGAAGGCCUUCUGGGUUGUAAACUGCUUUUAUCUGGGAAGAAAAGGCCCAUGCGUGGGACAUUGCCGGUACCAGAUGAAUAAGCACCGGCUAACUCCGUGCCAGCAGCCGCGGUAA
rnacentral:rRNA from 1 species